UCCGGGUUGGGACGUAUCACUGGUAUAUAAAUUUGGCCGCUAUGAAUAGAUGUUUAGACUCUGAACUGCACCAUUUGUUGACUUGUGAAGUCACAACGAAGAUUUGGAAACGUGCAACUAUAUUGUCCUCGUUGGUUUUGGCCGAAUAGAGAAUAAAGAUGUCAGGCCAAGCAUUGACCAGCAGCCCUCCUAAUCUCCCUCCUUCACCGGCCAUCAAGGUCGGCCUGGAGCUACGCCAGCUGGGUGACCAGCUCUACUGGAUGUGCUUCCUCUUGAGGGCCGUGACUAAGGAACACAAGACUCAAUCCAGCGGUACCUGAUGAUGUGACAGGGGGUCCACAGAGGAUGUACAGAGGAAAUGGGCAUCAGCCUGACUGAGAGCUGGUUGGAUGAGCUACCUUGGUGGUCGAGCAUGAGAGACCCCUGAUUUGAGGCUUCGCGGUAAAAUAUGAAGAUUAGCCAAAGCAGGAAUGGGUGAUCUGAGGACAAUUAUGACCUGGCGAAAGGAUUUUCAUCCGGACCACCUCAGAGGAACGGUUUAAAAAAAUAACACACAAAUGAUCAUCGUAUACUUGUUUCUUUCACAAUUUGCAAAUAAAACUUGUUUGUCAUCUGGUGUUCUAUGCAUUAUUAUUGACAUGCCACAAUAUAUUUGGGACAUCUGUAUACUCUAAUGCAGUGGUCCACAAAUUAUGUAAACUAAAUCCCACCUCCCCAAAAUUUUGGUAG